rnacentral:rRNA from 1 species
UGGGGAAUAUUGCACAAUGGGCGCACGCCUGAUGCAGCCAUGCCGCGUGUAUGAAGAAGGCCUUCGGGUUGUAAAGUACUUUCAGCGGGGAGGUAGGGAGUAAAGUUAAUACCUUUGCUCAUUGACGUUACCCGCAGAAGAAGCACCGGCUAACUCCGUGCCAGCAGCCGCGGUAAUACGGUGGGUGCAAGCGUUAAUCGGAAUUACUGGGCGUAAAGCGCACGCAGGCGGUUUGUUAAGCCAGGGGUGAAAUCCCCGGGCUCAAACUGGGAAAUUGAUCUGAUACUGGCCAGCUUGAGUCUCGUAGAGGGGGGUAGAAUUCCAGGUGUAGCGGUGAAAUGCGUAGAGGACUGGAGGAAUACCGGUGGCGAAGGCGGCCCCCUGGACGAAGACUGACGCUCAAGUGCGAAAACGUGGGGGGCAAACAGG